CAGAGUCAUAUAGUGAUUUAACAUGCCUUGGUCAGUAUUUUCAUAUAAUUUCCUUGCUGAUCCAGAGUAAGUACAGUGACAUGUCUAGAAAGUAGUUGUCAGUAUGCUGAGCUUUGGCAAAGAACAGUUUCCAACGUGGGUGGGGUGAGCCUUUUUUUUUUUUUUUUUUUUUUUAGUGAGAUGUCACGCCUAUCUGAUUAGGACGCUGUGAGUCACUGUGUAUUUGGCAUACUCUCAACUGAAACAUACCUUUGCUUUUCUUUGCUUUGGUUUCUCCCUCACUUAUCAUCAUGGAAAAAGAAAAAAGUCACAAACUAUAAAUUCAGAUACUCUCGAAAGAAACAUUUCUGGAAGCACAUCUAACUUCUCAGAACCUUGUAUUGGUUGGACUGUCUUCAACCUAAAAAUAUCUGUGAUAAAAGACUCUGUUUUUGCAUUGCUGUCUUAUGUUCUUAAAUUAUACCAGAUGUGCAAUCCUACUUGUGCUUGCUCAAGCGAAACAGACUCAACUGCUCCGUGCCUCUCACUCCCCAGUCGGCAUGAAGACUUCCAGCUGCUUUGAUCACUAGAGGAUCAGUGAAUUGUGUGACGAAAAAUGUUGUGCUGUCAAGACCUAGAUGUCACAUCCAAUAAUUACAUCCGAAGAUCCAUAGACUCUCUAACUAUAUGUCCACAGUGACUGAAACAAUAUCUUAAAUCAUAGUCUCAUGAGUAGACAAAUUUGGUAAGGGAUAUUUAUAUACUGGACAAUAUACAUGACUUUUUAGCAAAAAUGUGUUGUGCCACAUUGCUGGGUCAUUGAUGAAUAUUCCAAGAUUCAAAGGUUUUACUCACAUUGGAGGAGUAAUCAUUGGGGGAAGUAGUUUCAG